GUUCACCAGAUUCAUCAAGUGCAUUUAAUUCACCUCAUGGGUCCUCCAUCUUUUCAAACUGUAGCCGAAGGCCCAUGUCUACCCCGCAUGGCAUCCCUCAGUCAGAGAAAGGCCUGGGCGGACAGGGGAGGAUGUUUGGAUUGUAAGAAAUGGAAAUAGAAGCAAAGGAGAAGCAGGCCUCCAUGGCUUCAUCACUACCAGAGAAAUGGAUGCUCCUCCAGUGGGUGCCAAGGAGACCGAGCAAGGUCAAUCGCAUGGAAACUAUAUGACAAUAGAUUGUUAUAUGGUCACAAAUACGCCCCCCUUACCACUCCCUUGUGAUGUUGCAGGUAUCCCAUUAAGAGGAGAGCCAAGGGUCCCCAGCAGGCAGCCAAGUCAACUACCAGACAUGAAAGAGAGCUCUUCUCCAUCAUCCAGUCACCCCCACCUCUAACCUGAGUAUAGAUGCGAGGGAGUGACUGGCAGCAGAAUGAUGGAGCCAGCAAAGAGCAGAAGAUUCCCAACCCACCCAUAGAACUGUGAGCUAAACAAAGGCUGUUGC